CAUGUAUGUGUAAUUGGGUCACCAUGCUGUAUAGUAGGGGAAAAAUGGUGUUGGGGAAAUAACUAUUUACAAAAAAAAGAAAAGAAGAUGUGGUAUAUAUGCACUAAAAUCUUUGAGAGAAGGUAAUUGUCUAACAAUGAAUUAAGGAGAGCAAAAUGGAAUUUUGUUUUAGCUUUGCUUUACUUUUCCUUGUAAUGAAUGAUAUUGAAAGCAAAUUGAGAAAUUUUAAAAGGGAUUAAUAAAUUUAAAGAAUCUAGAAAAUAAAGACAUUAACAAAUCCCACGUAUAGGAAUGAUAAAAAAAUCUGACAUCUGCAGUUGAUCUAUUCAUUAAAAGAAGACAAUCUGUGUGUAGCCCAUUUCUGUAACUCUUGCAGAUUGGCUUUAACUUUUCAUUCUCAUAAAAUUGGAGAUGGGCUGUUUAGUUUAUUGGUAAUUGCUGCAGAAGCAGAAUGGUCCUAUGUUUGCCAGUCCACAAACCCCAUAGAUGUUUAUCCACUCACAGCAGUGCCAGCCUGUGCAUUAUUUUAGCUAGCGACGUAUCCUCAAUGAAAAAACAGCAGCUGCUCACUCAGAAUAAACUUGUUUCUGUUUAUGCUGUCAGCAGAAAGCUGUUUUAAAAAAUCAUUAGAUGCAUCAUGCUGUUGCAGUAUGUUAAAUUGUGAAGCUAAAGAAACAUUCCUGAAAGAUAAGCACUAUGUUAUUACCUCCAUGCCUUCAUCACAGAGUGUUUCUGUCUCCUUUCUGAAUUAUUCAAAUACAGGUAACACUGGUGAGUUAGAUGUUUAGACACAAUGAUGCCAAGAUGAUAGUCUGAAGCCUCUCCCAUAGACAAAGGAAAAUGUGUAGAAAAUGCUACAGUAAGAUCAGGGAACCUGAUACUGAUGCUGGCUCCGCCAACUGCAAUCUAUACAGCCUUGGAUAUGUCUUUUGAUCAAUGUGAGCUGUUAUUGUUUGGCCACACCCUUGGCAUAUAGAAUUUCCCAGGCCAGGGAUCAAACCCAUGACACAGCACUGACAAUGCUGGAUCCUUAGCUUGCUACACCACAAGGGAACUCCCUGAGCUUUCAUUUUUGAAUGUAGUCUGAAGGUCUCUUAAGAGCAUCAUAGUUUACUGUGGGAGUUAUUAUUUUAUUUAUUUAUUUAUUUAUUUUGUCUUUUUGCCUUUUUGAGGGCUACUCCAGCAACAUAUGGAGGUUCCUAGGCUAGGGGUCUAAUCGGAGCUGUAGCCGCCAGCCUACGCCACAGCAAUGCAGGAUCUGAGCUGUGUCUGUGACCUACACCACAGAUGAUGGCAAUGCCGGAUCCUUAACCCACUGAGUAAGGCCAGAGAUCAAACCCGCAAACUCAUGGUUCCUAGUCGGAUUCAUUAACCACUGUACCACGAUGGAACUCUGGGAGUUGUUAUUUUUAACAUGUUCAUCAAUUGUUAGAGUAUGCAUGACUGAUGAAAAUUUAUUCUGACCCUGGUCAAAUUACAUAAAGUGCUAGUUUACUAAAGCAGUCAAUAAGGAUACCUAUAUAUUAAGAGUGACACAUUUACUUUAUUUGUGAACUUAAAAUAUCUAGCAGUAGAUUUUGAAUUUUUCCCCCAAUUAUCAUCACUAAAUAAAAUAUGGUGGUCCUUUAAGACAAAUUACCUUAAUGCUAGUAUGGUAUUCAUUAGAAAAUUGGAUUGUGUUCAUUAGAAUGCUAUAUGGUAUAUAGCACAGGGAACUAUAUCUAGUCACUUGUAAUGGAACAUGAUGGAGGAAAACAUGAGAAAAAUUAUAUAUAUAUAUGACUAGGUCGCUUUGCUGUACAGUAGAAAUUGACAGAACACUUUAAAUCAACUAUAAUAGAAAAAAAUAAAAAUUAUUUUAAAAGAAUGCUAUGUGAAGAGAGCAUCAAAAACCAUUAUUCAGGAGUUCCGCUGUGGAGCCACAGGUUAAAAACCUGACAUAAUGUCUAUGAAGAAGCAGGUUCGAUCCCCGGCCUCAUUCAGUGGGUUAAGCAUCCAGCAUUGCCACAAGUGUGGCAUAAGUCACACGUGUGGCUUAGAUCCCAUGUGACUGUGGCUGUGGUGUAGGCUGGCAGCUGCAGCUAUCAUUUGAACCCUAGUCUGGCAACUUAGUAUGCCACAGGUACAGCCGUAAAAAGAAAAAAAAUGUUCAAAGUGAGUAGAAAAGAAGGCUAUGUGUCACUUGUCCUAUCUUGGUAAAAUGAAAAUAUGUAUAUACACAUGUAUACAUAGACAUAUAUACAUACAUAGAAACAUCUAUACAUGAAGAAAGUUGUAGAGUAAGGUAUUGCCAGAUUAUUUAAAAGUUGAUUUACUCUGAAAGAGAUAAUUAUAAGAGUGAGCUCCUUUUGCAUAUUUUAUACUUUCAUGAUAUUUGAAGGCUUAUAGUUAAUGUUACUUUUAUAAUAACAAAUCACUGAAAUUCAUUAAAAUAUUAUUGAAAAUAUGCUAAUAAACUCUUGAGGUAAAAUUUUAAGUGUACAUUUUAUGAAUUUUGAGAAAUGUGUGUUAGAAUCAUUGUGGUCAAACCUCCUACCCCUAACCCUUGGUUUUAGAAAAAUACUGACUGACCUUAUUUUUCAGUUAAUUUACUUCUUUUGUAUGUAAACAGAACCCUACAGUAUCAUCUACACUUGAUCAAUAUUAGAAAACUCUUCUACAGUAUUCUCUUCUUUAGAUCAGUAUAUUGAUUUUUAGAUUGAAACAUGUUGUAGUGUAUUCACACAGUAGUCAACUCCUUGGCAUUGCCAAUGACCUUAUACGAAUAUGCCACAAUUUGACUUUUUAUUUUACUCUUGAUGGAUAUUUGCAUUAUUUUCAGAUUUUUCCUAUUAUGCAUAAUGCUGUAAACAUUCAUGUACAAGUAUUUUAUAGCAAAUGUGUUAUUUCUCUUGGGCUUGUACCCAGCAUUAACACUGCUGGAUCGUAGGGUAGAAGUGUGUUUAACGUUCAAGAAACUGCUGAAAAGUUUUCCAGUAUGCUAUACCAUUUAGGACCACUACCAGAAAUAUGUGAGAGUUUCAGUUGUUCCAUGUACUUGUCAACAUUUGAUAUCAUCAGCUUUUGAAGUGUUAGCUAUUCUUAUGUGUACCCAUUAGAGUCACUUAUAGUUUUAUUUUUAUUUCCCUAGUGAUGAAAGAUGCUAGCCAUCUUUUCACGAGCAAUAAGCAAUAAAUGUCUUCUUUUGUGAAUUGUCCAUUCAAAAAACAUGCCUAUUUAAAAUAUGUUGGGUUGUCAUUUUAUUAUUGAGUUCUAAGAGCUCUCACAAGUACAUUAGCUGCAUGUGUUGCAGACAUUUUCUUCUAACCUGUAGCUCAUGUUUUUCCUUUCCUAACAGUAAGUUGGAAAGUUGAAUGUUUUGCCUUAGAACUCCAGUUUAUCAUCUUUUAAGGCCUUUUGGGUUCUGGAAAUCUUUGUCAACCUGAAAGCUGUUAAGAUUUUCUCUCUCAUAUCUUCUAGCAGAACUAACAUUUUCCCUUUUGUGUUAGGUCUUUUUUAACUAAUCAGAAAAUACAAGAUGUCAUUUUUAGUGAAAACAUUGUACUUUUAACAUAAAAAAUAGAGACUGUUACAAGCCAUUUUCAAAUUGAUCUCUCAAUAGUGUUUAUAAAAGUUCUGAUUUAUAAAAAGAUAUCUGGGUCCAUCUUAAGGAGGAAAGCUACAUUUUAAAUUAUAUCCUCAGCCUACCUGUGGAGGAGAGAACUUUUCUCCCUCCUUCAUCUUAUCUUUUCACAUAACAACAGCCUUCAGUGUAAGAAGUUUCCUCCAGUGGACAGUGCUCAACACAAACCAUCUAGUUAAUGUUAAUAGAAAUAUUUUCUGAAUUCUUACCAUGUGUCCCACAAUUUUCUAGUUGCUAAAAAUAAUACAUUACUGCUGGAUGAUUUUGUCCAUACUGUAAAAGAGUGGGGUCAAACAUAAUAAAGACAUAAUUAUAAUACAUGUUCUAAAGGAAAGGUCAGAAAGAUAAAAACAGGAUAUUAUUCGCAUUCAUAGGGCUUAUAAACCAGAGGGGGAGGGGGAUGGGGACCUCCGAGGAUGGGCUUUAGCAUCUAAAUAGUAAAUGCUACUAGAUGUGCUAUGUAUUCUUAGGCAAAUCAUACUAUUUGGAAAAAUGAUUUGCUUAGAAUGUUCUCAGUUGUUUUUUUCUUCUUCAACUUUGGUUGGUAGAGAAGUCAUUAUGGAUACACUAAAUAAAUCCACCUGAACCCCAGUGCUUCUAAUAAUAUUUUUAUGUUUGUGUUUUUCAUAGAAAAAUGGGUCUGUCGUAAUCUCCCUACCAGCAGCAGAAAGCACAGCUUCUGUUUGAGUCUCCUGUUCCCCUUGAGGUUGCAUUUAUUCAUCUCCUCUCCACUUUUACCUCAGCUUAAGUCUUGGGGUCCAGGUAAAGAAUGCUGUUCAGGAGUUCCUGUUAUGGCUCAGUGGCUAAUGAAUCCAAUUAGGAACCAUGAGGUUGUGGGUUUGAUCCCUGGCCUUGGUCAAUGGGUUAAGGAUCCGGCAUCGCUGUGAGCUGUGGUGUAGGUUGCAGAUGCGGCUUGGAUCCCACGUUGCUGUGGCUCUGGUAUAGGCCACCUGCUACAGCUCCGAUUCGACCUCUAGCCUGGGAACUUCCAUAUGCUGUGGGAAGUGGCCCAAGAAAUGGAAAGAAGAUGAAAAAAAAAAAAAGAAUGCUGUUCAUAGCUAGGGCUUUUUUUGUUUGUUUGUUUUUGUUUUGUUUUGUUUUUCUGCUUAGGGCCCCACCUGUAGCAUAUGAGCAUAUGGAAGUUCCCAGACUAGUGGCUGGAUCGGAGCUACAGCUGCCAGCCUAUACCACAGCUCAUGGAUCCACACAGGAUCCAAGCCACAUCUGUGACUUACACCACAACUCAUGGGAACAAUGGAUCCUUAACCCACUGAGCAGGGCCAGGGAUUGAACCCACAUCUUCAUGGAUACUAGUCAGUCAUUAUUGCUGAACCACAAUGGGGACUCCCUACAAUUCUUAUACAAGUUAGUCUAUGAGUGGCCAGUGGGAGGAGAGGGACAUAAAAUGGUAGAUGGAAUGUAAUUUAAUUUCAAGACUCAUCAUAAUGUACCUAAGUCUUUGGCAACAGUUCAAAAUGUGGGUGCUUCCAGCCAAGUCAGAGGUGAUUAUUUGUUGGGCUCUCACUUGUGGUGUUACCCUAAGAAAUGACUUUGAACUUUAUCAAGAAGGAAUUGAGAGCAAUUGAAAGGUUUUAAGGAUGGAAAAAAAUUGUAAUAGAAUUUUCAUUGUUUAAUUUUCUCCAAUAUGAAAAAAAAUGAGAAACUCUUCUCAUGGAAACAAGGAGCAAGAGAUGAUACAGGAAAAUCACUUUUAUGAGGCUAUGAUAGUAAUGCCCAGGAGAUAUGACAGUGAUUUUGGGGCUAAUUAGGAUAGAGCAAAUGAUUAUAAUAGAAAUCUACAUUGUAACUAACAUCAAAAGGAACUGGCAGUUGCAGUUGGCAGAUAAAGGAAAGG
rnacentral:lncRNA from 1 species